AGAGUGAACGCUGGCGGCAGGCCUAACACAUGCAAGUCGAACGGCAGCACAGUAAGAGCUUGCUCUUAUGGGUGGCGAGUGGCGGACGGGUGAGGAAUACAUCGGAAUCUGCCUAUUUGUGGGGGAUAACGUAGGGAAACUUACGCUAAUACCGCAUACGACCUACGGGUGAAAGCGGAGGACCUUCGGGCUUCGCGCAGAUAGAUGACGCCGAUGUCGGAUUAG
rnacentral:rRNA from 1 species